UACGAAGGGGGCUAGCGUUGCUCGGAAUCACUGGGCGUAAAGGGUGCGUAGGCGGGUUUUUAAGUCAGAGGUGAAAUCCUGGAGCUCAACUCCAGAACUGCCUUUGAUACUGGGAAUCUCGAGUCCGGGAGAGGUGAGUGGAACUGCGAGUGUAGAGGUGAAAUUCGUAGAUAUUCGCAAGAACACCAGUGGCGAAGGCGGCUCACUGGCCCGAUACUGACGCUGAGGUGCGAAAGCGUGGGGAGCAAACAGG
rnacentral:rRNA from 1 species